UACGGGGGGUGCGAGCGUUGUCCGGAAUCCCUGGGCGUAAAGGGCGCGUAGGUGGCUUUGUAAGUUUGCGGUGAAAGCCCGGGGCUCAACCCCGGUCGUGCAGUGGAUACGGGCUGGCUAGAGGCAGGCAGGGGAGAACGGAAUUCCCGGUGUAGCGGUGAAAUGCGCAGAUAUCGGGAGGAACACCGGUGGCGAAGGCGGUUCUCUGGGCCUGUACUGACGCUGAGGAGCGAAAGCGUGGGGAGCGAACAGG
rnacentral:rRNA from 1 species